rnacentral:tRNA from 1 species
GCCCUUAUAGCUCAGUGGUAGUAGCGCUGCACUUGUAAUGCAGAGGUCGGCGGUUCAAACCCGCCUGGGGGCA